UGGCGGACGGGUGAGUAACGCGUAGGUAUCUGUCCCGGGGCGGGGGAUAACCAUGGGAAACUAUGGCUAAUACCGCAUGACGCCCGAGGGCCAAAGCAGCAAUGCGCCCUGGGAGGAGCCUGCGUACGAUUAGCUUGUUGGCGGGGUAAUGGCCCACCAAGGCGACGAUCGUUAGCUGGUCUGAGAGGAUGAUCAGCCACACUGGGACUGAGACACGGCCCAG
rnacentral:rRNA from 1 species